AUGAACGCUGGCGGCGUGCCUCAUACAUGCAAGUCGAGCGAACGGACGAGAAGCUUGCUUCUCUGAUGUUAGCGGCGGACGGGUGAGUAACACGUGGAUAACCUACCUAUAAGACUGGGAUAACUUCGGGAAACCGUAGCUAAUACCGGAUAAUAUUUUGAACCGCAUGGUUCAAAAGUGAAAGACGGUCUUGCUGUCACUUAUAGAUGGAUCCGCGCUGCAUUAGCUAGUUGGUAAGGUAACGGCUUACCAAGGAAACGAUGCAUAGCCGACCUGAGAGGGUGAUCGGCCACACUGGAACUGAGACACGGUCCAGACUCCUACGGGAGGCAGCAGUAGGGAAUCUUCCGCAAUGGGCGAAAGCCUGACGGAGCAACGCCGCGUGAGUGAUGAAGGUCUUCGGAUCGUAAAACUCUGUUAUUAGGGAGGAACAUAUGUGUAAGUAACUGUGCACAUCUUGACGGUACCUAAUCAGAAAGCCACGGCUAACUACGUG
rnacentral:rRNA from 1 species